rnacentral:ncRNA from 1 species
UAGCAAUACGCGGCCUAGUCUGAAAAGAUGGAUAAUGUUUAGAGCAUUAAGUUUAGCCGGUGGGGCGGUUUCGGGAUUGCCGCCAUCCUAGUCCCACCGGUUGGCUUAU